GACGAACGCUGGCGGCGUGCCUAAUACAUGCAAGUCGAACGCAGUGGGGACGGGUGAGUAACACGUGGGUAACCUCCCAUCAGAGGGGAUAACACUUGGCAACAGGUGCUAAACCGAUACUGAUGGAUGGACCCGCGGUGCAGUAGCUAGUUGGUGAGGGAACGGCUCACCAAGGCCACGAUGCAUAGCCGAUCUGAGAGGGUGAUCGGCCACACUGGGACUGAGACACGGCCCAGACUCCUACGGGAGGAAGCAGUGGGGAAUCUUCGGCAAUGGACGAAAGUCUGACGCAGCAACGCCGCGUGAGUGAAGAAGGUUUUCGGAUCGUAAAGCUCUGUUGGUAGAGAAGCGGUAUCUAAACAGAAAGCCACGGCUAACUACGUGCCAGCCGCCGCGGUAAUUC
rnacentral:rRNA from 1 species